GCGUCGACACCCACAAGAAGAAGGAAGGGGAAAUCUUGAAUUAAGCAUUUUGUCUAAAUUGAAGAUGGAUUCAAGCUAAAUUUUAUGCGUGAACUUUAAUUUGUGAUGAUCUAGUAACAAACAAGUGGUAAGUUAUAGAAUUUAAUUUGGCGAUUCUGUAUGAAGUGGGUUUAUGAUCAAUACACGAAUUAGUAUGAAAUUAAGCAUGAAUAUAUGUUAGAGUCACCAUAUGGAACAUAAACUAUGCAAGACUUCGAGUAAUAUGAUGUUUUGGGGUGAAACCCACUUGUAGCGGUGAGGAUGAUGAUAUGGGAUAAUCACCCAUGUCCAAUUAUUGUGCAAUGUUGAUGUAUGAUGUUGUAUGUGAUGAAUUCUUGUUAUGCAUGUUGAUUAUGAUAUGGAAUUAAUUGAUGCUUAGUUGUGUUGAUGAAUGAAAGCAAAAAAGCAGGAAGUAAGACAUGAAAUACUUGUACAUGAUGCUUAGAUGGUGGUAUGCACACCAAGUGUUUGAUGAAAUGGAUAUGUGGAAUUAAUAGAUGAAAUUGUAUGCAAGUGAUGGAUGAAAAUGCAUAGAACGCGGAUAUGACGUUGUGAUAGUAAACUAAGCGUGAUAAAUAUGUUUUAGAUGGAAUAUAUGUGUGAAAUUUAGUUGAUGGGAUGAUUUGGUAAGAAGCACACAUUAAGGGCUUGUACUAUAUGCUUGAAAGGUAUGAUAUAUAUUAACUGAAGCAUGGAAUGCUAGCGGGUUAAGAGGAUUCAAGGAAGCGAACGCGAAUACGGACGCUUAAGGACGUUCAAACGAGUGUCACAUUUUGUAAAAGAAUGAAAUUCGGGAGCCGGUGCUAUAGACGAAGUCGCCGACGACCAUAAUCCAAGUCGCCAACGUCGGGAAAAUAAGUCGCCAAUGCCGAACACAAUCACGAGAAGGAUUCAACACUUGAAUCAAUCAUAUGUGUUAAAGUGUAAUACAUAUGUCUUAACAACUAGUAUAAAUGUAUUAUAAUUUGAUUAUAGUUGUGGUUAUUUGUAGUGAUCAACAAUUGGUGGUAUGAGUUACUAUAUUGAUGACUUGUAUAAGUGAUGUAA